CUUAUCUCCCUCACUGAAGUCACGUGACUGUGAAAUAAGAUAGUGGUGUAAAGCACCGAGAGGUACCAGACGCUGCUCCUUGCUUCAUCCCCACCUUGUCCCCUCAUCAAACAAAUAUCUCCGGGAACAAUCUUCACCAGCAGCCAUGGGUGUUGUCAGAGUCAAUGGCUUGAUACUCAGGGUAGACGGUCUCUCUGAGCUCUACCCUUUUGUCCUGAUCACAGAGGGUUUUAGGUAAGAGAUUGAGGAUAACUUGGAGCCACUUCCACACCUCUGUUUAAAAACAAAAUCCAAAAACAAAAAAGGUGCGUGCCACAAGGUUCGUUGACGGGGAAUUGGAAAUUUUAAAUCCAAAGGAUUCCACUUAACUCUCAAAACUGGGAGGCUUUGCAGAAUAGGGUAAAGAACCAGAUUCUAGACCCAGACUAUCUAGAUUUGCUUCUUGGCUCCUGAACUUACAAAUUGUAAUGAACUUGGACACAUUUCCUGUAAUGCCCAGUAUCCUUGUAUUGGGCCUUCCAUUCCUCAACUGUGGAAUGAGGAUCCUGAUGGUACUUUUGGGAUCUUCCUCCUGGAGAAUUCAUGAGGACAAAAUGAGACAAGCUGUGCAAGGAGCUGAGCACACAGCCUCGCAUACAGGAAGUUCUCCAUCAACGUUAGCUGCUUCUGUCCCUGCUUGGAAACUGACUUAGCCUUGAGAAUGGCCGUGCUGAGAGGGACUCCGGGGUCAUCCAGACACAUGGCAUUCACCCAGGAGCUCCAGAGUCUGAGAAGAGACUGGGACCCUGAACCCAGGACCUGGACCUUCUCCACUCCUCCUCCUACAGGAGCCACAUCUCCUGAGCACCUUCUGUGGGCCAGGAACUGCGGGCAUUACCUUAUGGAACUUUCACAAGUGCCCUUCCUUCCGACCCCCAUUUCAGAUUCAGAGAACAGAGGCACGAGGGGGUGGGCGUGGCAGGUGGCCUGCCAGGUACCACUUGCCUGAUAGUUUUCAAAGACCCAGCUCACUGAAGAUUUAUGUAUUUUCUGCAUGAAAAGUAGAGCCAGUCUCCUCCUUAUACUGAUGUGUCUGCUUUUUCCUGGUAAAAUGGCCC
rnacentral:lncRNA from 1 species